rnacentral:rRNA from 1 species
UACGUAGGGGGCCAGCGUUGUUCGGAAUUACUGGGCGUAAAGGGCGCGUAGGCUGUGCUGUAAGUCAGGCGUGAAAGCCCCGGGCUCAACCUGGGAAUUGCGCUUGAUACUGCGGCGCUGGAAGGUGGGAGAGGGAUGGCGGAAUUCCCAGUGUAGAGGUGAAAUUCGUAGAUAUUGGGAAGAACACGGUGGCGAAGGCGGCCAUCGUGGCCCACAAGUUGACGCUGACGGCGCGGAAAGCGGUGGGGAGCAAACAGGGAUUAAGAAACCCGAGGU